UACGAAGGGGGCUAGCGUUGUUCGGAAUUACUGGGCGUAAAGCGCGCGCAGGCGGCCUUUCAAGUCAGGGGUGAAAGCCCGGAGCUCAACUCCGGAAUUGCCUUUGAAACUGUCAGGCUCAAGUACGGGAGAGGUGAGUGGAAUUCCCAGUGUAGAGGUGGAAUUCGUAGAUAUUCGGCGGAACACCAGUGGCGAAGGCGACUCACUGGCCCGAUACUGACGCUGAGGCGCGAAAGCGUGGGGAGCAAACAGG
rnacentral:rRNA from 1 species